UACGUAGGGGGCUAGCGUUGUCCGGAUUUAUUGGGCGUAAAGAGCGUGUAGGCGGCCAGGUAGGUCUGCUGUGAAAACUCGAGGCUCAACCUCGAGACGUCGGCGGAAACCAUCUGGCUAGAGUCCGGAAGAGGAGAGUGGAAUUCCACGUGUAGCGGUGAAAUGCGUAGAGAUGUGGAGGAACACCAGUGGCGAAGGCGACUCUUUGGCCUGUAACUGACACUGAGGCGCGAAAGCGUGGGGAGCAAACAGG
rnacentral:rRNA from 1 species